CGGACGGGUGAGUAAUGCUUGGGAAUCUGGCUUAUGGAGGGGGAUAACGACGGGAAACUGUCGCUAAUACCGCGUAGAGUCGAGAGACGAAAGUGUGGGACCGCAAGGCCACAUGCCAUGAGAUGAGCCCAAGUGGGAUUAGGUAGUUGGUGGGGUAAAGGCCUACCAAGCCGACGAUCUCUAGCUGGUCUGAGAGGAUGACCAGCCACACCGGGACUGAGACACGGCCCGG
rnacentral:rRNA from 1 species